rnacentral:rRNA from 1 species
AGCGUAUAUUAAAGUUGUUGCAGUUAAAAAGCUCGUAGUUGAAUUUCGGGAUCAAUACGUCGGUCGAGCUUUCGGGUACGUACUGGCGUCAUUGGUUUCUCCUUUCUGACGAACCAUGAUGUCAUUAAUCUGGUGUUAUGGGGAGUUAGGACUGUUACUUUGAAAAAAUUAGAGUGUUUAAAGCAGGCAUUAGCUUGAAUACAUUAGCAUGGAAUAAUGAAAUAGGACGUUCGAUCCUAUUUUGUUGGUUUCUAGGAUCAACGUAAUGAUUAAUAGGGAUAGUUGGGGGCAUUAGUAUUCAAUUGUCAGAGGUGAAAUUCUUGGACUUAUUGAAGACUAACUACUGCGAAAGCAUUUGCCAAGGAUGUUUUCAUUAAUCAAGAACGAAAGUUAGGGGAUCGAAGACGAUCAGAUACCGUCGUAGUCUUAACCAUAAACUAUGCCGACUAGGGAUCGGAUGAUGUUAAUUUUUUAAUGACUCAUUC